rnacentral:misc_RNA from 1 species
UUCUGUUCCCUAAUAUGUUGAGUGUCUGGCUGUUAGUGUUGCUUUAAUCCAAUAAAGUAGGAAGGCAACUCUAAAAGUUGGGCACUGGGCCGCUUUCUGGUGAUCUUUUGUUGGAUUACUUUUUCUUGUCAUUUUGAUGAUUAGGAUGGUAGCUUGUUUUUUAAAAAUUAAGCAAUUUCUUAUAGAUGAGGUUUAUCUUUCACGAGCAUGUUAUAAGAACUGGUAUUAAACCACCGGAGGGUUGUUCCCAACAGAAGAAUGGCGGGCGCUUCACACUUCAGUAGGACUUCAUAGCGGGUGGGGUUAGUCUUGUGUUCUUGAAGUGAUAUUUUUUUUUUUUUUUUUUGUCAAUUGCUC